UACAGAGGGUGCAAGCGUUGUUCGGAAUUACUGGGCGUAAAGGGCGCGUAGGUGGCCUUCUAAGUUGAACGUGAAAUCCCUGGGCUCAACCCAGGAACUGCGUCCAAGACUGGGAGGCUUGAAUCCGGGAGAGGGAUGCGGAAUUCCAGGUGUAGCGGUGAAAUGCGUAGAUAUCGGGAGGAACACCAGUGGCGAAGGCGGCACUCUGGGCCGGAACUGACGCUGAGGAGCGAAAGCGUGGGGAGCGAACAGG
rnacentral:rRNA from 1 species